rnacentral:lncRNA from 1 species
GCGGGAAAAGAUCUUAACCCGUGAUUGCUGGGACUGGCUCAAGCUCCACCAGGAGCCGUCGUUCUUUUACAAAGAGGGGUGGAGGUUCCAGUGGAGGCUGUUGUUGCCUUUUUUUUUUUUUUUUUAAUGAAUGGAGGGCGGCGGCGACUGCUGCAGCUGGGCCAGCUGCGCGGGCUGCACCCCCUCCCAGCCUGCGAGAGGAGGAAGCUAGUAGAAGAUUUGUACCAACAAAACCAAGGAGUAAACAACUUGAGAAUAACUGCAUGAGCUCAGGGCUUGGACUGUCAGAUUCCAUUUCUAAGCUUCCAGAAGAGCGACACAUAGACACUGGGGAAGUCAGAGCCUUUGAACUCCAAUGCCAUCCCCGUCACCCACCUCCACCACCAGCACCACCACCGAAUGGCACUUUGGACAAUUUUUCCCUCUCAUGUGACUUUUGUCAUUUCUUACGUCAGUUGGAGCCAGCACCUCUCAAAUCCAUCUUCUAAAACCCAGAAAAUUGUGUGUAACACAUGAUGACUGAAAGGGAGUAGGCUGACCAGUUAAGAGCCUGCCACUGGAAUGGAAGGCUGUGGGAAGGUGAGGGGACGGUGGACAUCAACCGGGAAGAGCUGAAAGAUGGCGUUACCAGAUAAGGAAACUGAGUCUCAGGGAGGUCAAGAGACAUGCCAAAGCACAGCUUGGAAGUGGUAAGGUCCAAAGAUAGACAACUAACUCAAAAUUGUAUCUUCGCUUUAAUCACUGCUCUGGUGAUAUUUGCAUUAAUGAAAGAGAAAAGAAAGCAUCCCCAACAGAUGGAAAAGGCGGCUCUCUGACUAGUGAAAGAACAACUUCCAGUAAAAGAAGGCACUGAGGUUUAAGUGCUACGUGGGAGCAGUUGCCGAUUUUUGCAAUGGGAGGCUGCAUAGAUUCAAGGACUUCCUUGAGUGCUCCAGGAGCUUGUCAUUCCAGAGACAGAGCAGCCCAGAAGUCCUGGGAUUUACACCUCUAGUAGAAACCCUCAACCAGAGAAGGAUGGAAGUCAAUGGGUUGGCUAGUCUCCACCAACAGCCUCUCCUUUUGCCCCCAUGCCAUCUGUGAAACAG